CCCCCCCGGGAAAUCCGUUUCGUUCGUGCGGGGAGGCUCGUCCGCGCCGGUAGCCUCCGCUCCCUCCCGGGUGGGAAGCGGCUGGCUGCGCGGACGAGGGCUCGUUUUCAGCAGAAACACGGCCAGAAAGAAAUAUUUAAUUUUGGGGCUGGGAGACCAAAAGCACCCCCUCACACACAGGUUUCAGUGCAUUCCCCGUAACAGGAAAUUUUCUCUUCCUUACAUUAUAAUUGAACAAGCCCCGAAGCCUACUUGGAGAAAAGUUGGAAUUCUUCGUCGAGUCCACAGGAGAGCAGGGGAGGGAGGCUCUCCCUCCCCAAACCCGCCCCGGGAGAGCGCGGCGAGGGCUGGGGCAGCGCGGACCCGCCGGCUGAUUUCCCUCCUUCUUUUCGACAACGCAUUGUUUUCGAGGAGCUAUUUAGGGGUUAAAAAUCAAAAAUAAAGAUCCUGUAUACUUGGAGCUGUCGUGCGGGAGUAAA